CCUANGGGUGGCAUCAGUGGGGAAUAUUGGGCAAUGGGGGAAACCCUGACCCAGCAACGCCGCGUGAAGGAUGAAGGCUUUCGGGUUGUAAACUUCUUUGAUCGGGGACGAAAUUGACGGUACCCGAAGAACAAGCCACGGCUAACUACGUGCCAGCAGCCGCGGUAAUACGUAGGUGGCAAGCGUUAUCCGGAAUUACUGGGCGUAAAGGGCGUGUAGGCGGGAAGACAAGUCAGGAGUGAAAUCCCAGGGCUUAACCCUGGAGCUGCUUCUGAAACUGUUUUUCUUGAGUAUCGGAGAGGAAAGUGGAAUUCCCAGUGUAGCGGUGAAAUGCGUAGAGAUUGGGAGGAACACCAGUGGCGAAGGCGGCUUUCUGGACGAUUACUGACGCUGAGGCGCGAAAGCGUGGGGAGCAAACAGGAUUAGAUACCCGGNUANUC
rnacentral:rRNA from 1 species